rnacentral:rRNA from 1 species
UGAGGAAUAUUGGUCAAUGGGCGAGAGCCUGAACCAGCCAAGUAGCGUGAAGGAUGACUGCCCUAUGGGUUGUAAACUUCUUUUAUAAGGGAAUAAAGUCAUCUACGUGUAGGUGUUUGUAUGUACCUUAUGAAUAAGCAUCGGCUAACUCCGUGCCAGCAGCCGCGGUAAUACGGAGGAUGCGAGCGUUAUCCGGAUUUAUUGGGUUUAAAGGGAGCGUAGACGGGUCGUUAAGUCAGCUGUGAAAGUUUGCGGCUCAACCGUAAAAUUGCAGUUGAUACUGGCGUCCUUGAGUACGGUUGAGGCAGGCGGAAUUCGUGGUGUAGCGGUGAAAUGCUUAGAUAUCACGAAGAACCCCGAUUGCGAAGGCAGCCUGCUAAACCGCCACUGACGUUGAGGCUCGAAAGUGUGGGUAUCAAACAGGAUUAGAUACCCUGGUAGUCCACACGGUAAACGAUGGAUACUCGCUGUUGGCGAUAGACUGUCAACGGCUUAGCGAAAGCGUUAAGUAUCCCACCUGGGGAGUACGCCGGCAACGGUGAAACUCAAAGGAAUUGACGGGGGCCCGCACAAGCGGAGGAACAUGUGGUUUAAUUCGAUGAUACGCGAGGAACCUUACCCGGGCUUGAAUUGCAGACGAAUUGCUUGGAAACAGGCAAGCCGCAAGGCGUCUGUGAAGGUGCUGCAUGGUUGUCGUCAGCUCGUGCCGUGAGGUGUCGGCUUAAGUGCCAUAACGAGCGCAACCCUCGUGUCCAGUUACUAGCAGGUUAUGCUGAGGACUCUGGACAGACUGCCAUCGUAAGAUGUGAGGAAGGUGGGGAUGACGUCAAAUCAGCACGGCCCUUACGUCCGGGGCUACACACGUGUUACAAUGGGGGGUACAGCAGGCAGCUACCGGGCGACCGGAUGCCAAUCCCGAAAGCCUCUCUCAGUUCGGACUGGAGUCUGCAACCCGACUCCACGAAGCUGGAUUCGCUAGUAAUCGCGCAUCAGCCACGGCGCGGUGAAUACGUUCCC